AUUGAACGCUGGCGGCAGGCCUAACACAUGCAAGUCGAACGAGUGGCGGACGGGUGAGUAAUGUCUGGGAAACUGCCUGAUGGAGGGGGAUAACUACUGGAAACGGUAGCUAAUACCGCAUACCAUCGGAUGUGCCCAGAUGGGAUUAGCUAGUAGGUGGGGUAAAGGCUCACCUAGGCGACGACCCCUAGCCGGUCUGAGAGGAUGAACAGCAAGACUGGAACUGAGACACGGUCCAGACUCUUACGGGAGGGAGCAGUGGGGAUUAUUGAACAAUGGGCGCAAGCCUGAGUCAGCCAUGCCGCGUGUAUGAAGAAGGCCUUCGGGUUGUAAAGGACUUUCAGCGGGGAGGCUUUACCCGCAGAAGAUGCACCGGCUAACUCCGUGCCAGCAGCCGCGGUAAUAC
rnacentral:rRNA from 1 species